UUAAUACGGACGAUGUUACCUCAUAUAUACUCGAUAAUAUGGAUCGAGAGUUUCUACCCGGCAACCUUAAAUUGCUGGACUAUGGGGAAAACUAAUGAAUAU
rfam:Bacillus cereus Rock4-18 chromosome, whole genome shotgun sequence.